rnacentral:rRNA from 1 species
UACAGAGUGGGCAAGCGUUGUUCGGAAUUACUGGGCGUAAAGGGCGCGUAGGCGGCCGCCUAAGUCAGACGUGAGAUCCCUCGGCUCAACCGGGGAACUGCGUCUGAUACUGGGUGGCUUGAAUCCGGGAGAGGGAUGCGGAAUUCCACGUGUAGCAGUGAAAUGCGUAGAUAUGUGGAGGAACACCGAUGGCGAAGGCAGCCCCCUGGGUCAAGACUGACGCUCAUGCACGAAAGCGUGGGGAGCAAACAGG